rnacentral:rRNA from 1 species
AUUGAACGCUGGCGGCAUGCCUUACACAUGCAAGUCGAACGGCAGCACGGGAGCAAUCCUGGUGGCGAGUGGCGAACGGGUGAGUAAUAUAUCGGAACGUGCCCAGUAGUGGGGGAUAACUGCUCGAAAGAGCAGCUAAUACCGCAUACGACCUGAGGGUGAAAGGGGGGGAUCGCAAGACCUCUCGCUAUUGGAGCGGCCGAUAUCAGAUUAGCUAGUUGGUGGGGUAAAGGCCUACCAAGGCAACGAUCUGUAGUUGGUCUGAGAGGAUGAUCAGUCACACUGGAACUGAGACACGGUCCAGACUCCUACGGGAGGCAGCAGUAGGGAGUAUUGCACAAUGGGGGAAACCCUGAUGCAGCAACGCCGCGUGAGUGAAGAAGGCCCUUGGGUUGUAAAGCUCUUUAGCGUGGGAAGAAGGUAGAUAUGGUGAAUAAUCAUGUUUGCUGACGGUACCACGAGAAUAAGCACCGGCUAAUUUCGUGCCAGCCGCCGCCGUAACAC